rnacentral:rRNA from 1 species
GAUCAUGGCUCAGGAUGAACGCUAGCUACAGGCUUAACACAUGCAAGUCGCGGGGCAGCAUGUUGUGUGCUUGCACACAAUGAUGGCGACCGGCGCACGGGUGCGUAACGCGUAUCCAACCUCGCCCCUUACUCUGGAAUAGCCCGGCGAAAGUCGGAUUAAUGCCGGAUGUUGUCAGAUGAGGACAUCUGAGUUUGACCAAAGGCCCUUUGGGUCGGUAAGGGAUGGGGAUGCGUACGAUUAGGUAGACGGCGGGGUAACGGCCCACCGUGCCUACGAUCGUUAGGGGUUCUGAGAGGAAGGUCCCCCACACUGGUACUGAGACACGGACCAGACUCCUACGGGAGGCAGCAGUGAGGAAUAUUGGUCAAUGGACGAGAGUCUGAACCAGCCAAGUAGCGUGCAGGAUGACGGCCCUAUGGGUUGUAAACUGCUUUUAUGCGGGGAUAAAGUUCACUACGUGUAGUGUUUUGUAGGUACCGCAUGAAUAAGGACCGGCUAAUUCCGUGCCAGCCGCCGC